ACCAGGGACCUCCAGAGCUAAACCCUGCCUCUGUAACUGACUCAUAUCCUCUGCGGUUUGGGCACAGAGUAGGACCUAUCUUAGAUAUUUUCCUGGAGCAGAGAUUCCUCUGAUGGAAGACUGCAGCCAGCCCUAAAGAGCAAUUUACAGGAGAAGCUCUUGGAAAUGGGUACGGAAGUGUCCUCCCCUGGGAAGAUUCCUGCCCUUCACUGAGCUCUGGUGCAUUCCAAGGAUAAAACAUUUGCUCUUUAAAAUAUCGUAGCACCUAGGAGCCCUAGUCACUGACCAGGACCCCAUUGUGCUUGGUGCUGGACAAACGCAGAACAAAGAUUUGGUCCCUAUCUCAAGUAA